rnacentral:rRNA from 1 species
UCGAGGGGUAUUGUUCUUUGGAACGAGAGACCGGCGCACGGGUGCGUAACGCGUAUGCAAUCUACCUUUUGCAGAGGGAUAGCCCAGAGAAAUUUGGAUUAAUACCUCAUAGUAUGGUACAACCGCAUGGUUGAACUAUUAAAGUCACAACGGCAAAAGAUGAGCAUGCGUCCCAUUAGCUAGUUGGUAAGGUAACGGCUUACCAAGGCGACGAUGGGUAGGGGUCCUGAGAGGGAGAUCCCCCACACUGGUACUGAGACACGGACCAGACUCCUACGGGAGGCAGCAGUGAGGAAUAUUGGUCAAUGGGCGCAAGCCUGAACCAGCCAUGCCGCGUGCAGGAUGACGGUCCUAUGGAUUGUAAACUGCUUUUGUACGGGAAGAAACAACGAUUCGUGAAUCGUCUUGACGGUACCGUAAGAAUAAGGAUCGGCUAACUCCGUGCCAGCAGCCGCGGUAAUACGGAGGAUCCAAGCGUUAUCCGGAAUCAUUGGGUUUAAAGGGUCCGUAGGCGGUUUUGUAAGUCAGUGGUGAAAGCCCGUCGCUCAACGGCGGAACGGCCAUUGAUACUGCAAGACUUGAAUUAUUAGGAAGUAACUAGAAUAUGUAGUGUAGCGGUGAAAUGCUUAGAGAUUACAUGGAAUACCAAUUGCGAAGGCAGGUUACUACUAAUGGAU